rnacentral:rRNA from 1 species
AGAGUUUGAUCCUGGCUCAGGACGAACGCUGGCGGCGUGCUUAACACAUGCAAGUCAUGGGGGCGGAGCAAUCCGCAACCGGCGAACGGGUGCGUAACACGUGAGCGACCUGGCGAGUACUGGGGGAUAGCCGGCCCAACGGCCGGGUAAUACCGCAUACGCUCUUUUGGGGGCAUCCCUGGGAGAGGAAACCGGUGAAAGCCGGGGUAUUUGGGGGGCCCGCGGCCUAUCAGCUUGUUGGCGGGGUAAUGGCCCACCAAGGCGAUGACGGGUAGCUGGUCUGAGAGGAUGGCCAGCCACAUUGGGACUGAGAGACGGCCCAGACUCCUACGGGAGGCAGCAGUGGGGAAUCUUGCGCAAUGGCCGAAAGGCUGACGCAGCGACGCCGCGUGGGGGAGGAAGGUCUUCGGAUUGUAAACCCCUGUUGCCCGGGACGAACAUCCUCUUUCGAGGGGACUGACGGUACCGGGUGAGGAAGCACCGGCUAACUCUGUGCCAGCAGCCGCGGUAAUACAGAGGGUGCGAGCGUUGUCCGGAAUCACUGGGCGUAAAGGGCGCGUAGGCGGCCCGUCAAGCGUGCGGUGAAAGCCCGGGGCUCAACCCCGGGUCGGCCGUGCGAACUGGCGGGCUGGAGCACUGUAGAGGCAGAUGGAACUCCGGGUGUAGCGGUGGAAUGCGUAGAGAUCCGGAAGAACACCGGUGGCGAAGGCGGUCUGCUGGGCAGUGGCUGACGCUGA